UGGUGCUUGCAUCAUGAUUUACAUUUGAGUGAGUGGCGAACUGGUGAGUAACACGUGGGAAACCUGCCCAGAAGCGGGGGAUAACACCUGGAAACAGAUGCUAAUACCGCAUAACAACUUGGACCGCAUGGUCCGAGUUUGAAAGAUGGCUUCGGCUAUCACUUUUGGAUGGUCCCGCGGCGUAUUAGCUAGAUGGUGGGGUAACGGCUCACCAUGGCAAUGAUACGUAGCCGACCUGAGAGGGUAAUCGGCCACAUUGGGACUGAGACACGGCCCAAACUCCUACGGGAGGCAGCAGUAGGGAAUCUUCCACAAUGGACGAAAGUCUGAUGGAGCAACGCCGCGUGAGUGAAGAAGGGUUUCGGCUCGUAAAACUCUGUUGUUAAAGAAGAACAUAUCUGAGAGUAACUGUUCAGGUAUUGACGGUAUUUAACCAGAAAGCCACGGCUAACUACGUGCCAGCAGCCGCGGUAAUACGUAGGUGGCAAGCGUUGUCCGGAUUUAUUGGGCGUAAAGCGAGCGCAGGCGGUUUUUUAAGUCUGAUGUGAAAGCCUUCGGCUCAACCGAAGAAGUGCAUCGGAAACUGGGAAACUUGAGUGCAGAAGAGGACAGUGGAACUCCAUGUGUAGCGGUGAAAUGCGUAGAUAUAUGGAAGAACACCAGUGGCGAARGCGGCUGUCUGGUCUGUAACUGACGCUGAGGCUCGAAAGUAUGGGUAGCAAACAGGAUUAGAUACCCUGGUAGUCCAUACCGUAAACGAUGAAUGCUAAGUGUUGGGAGGGUUUCCGCCCUUCAGUGCUGCAGCUAACGCAUUAAGCAUUCCGCCUGGGGAGUACGGCCGCAAGGCUGAAACUCAAAGGAAUUGACGGGGGCCCGCACAAGCGGUGGAGCAUGUGGUUUAAUUCGAAGCUACGCGAAGAACCUUACCAGGUUUUGACCUACUAUGCAAAUCUAAGAGAUUAGACGUUCCCUUCGGGGACAUGGAUACAGGUGGUGCAUGGUUGUCGUCAGCUCGUGUCGUGAGAUGUUGGGUUAAGUCCCGCAACGAGCGCAACCCUUAUUAUCAGUUGCCAGCAUUAAGUUGGGCACUCUGGUGAGACUGCCGGUGACAAACCGGAGGAAGGUGGGGAUGACGUCAAAUCAUCAUGCCCCUUAUGACCUGGGCUACACACGUGCUACAAUGGAUGGUACAACGAGUUGCGAACUCGCGAGAGUAAGCUAAUCUCUUAAAGCCAUUCUCAGUUCGGAUUGUAGGCUGCAACUCGCCUACAUGAAGUCGGAAUCGUUAGUAAUCGCGGAUCAGCAUGCCGCGGUGAAUACGUUCCCGGGCCUUGUACACACCGCC
rnacentral:rRNA from 2 species